rnacentral:rRNA from 1 species
GAUGAACGCUGGCGGCGUGCUUAACACAUGCAAGUCGAACGAAGCACCUUGAUUUGAUUCUUCGGAUGAAGAUCUUGGUGACUGAGUGGCGGACGGGUGAGUAACGCGUGGGUAACCUGCCUCAUACAGGGGGAUAACAGUUAGAAAUGACUGCUAAUACCGCAUAAGACCACAGCACCGCAUGGUGCAGGGGUAAAAACUCCGGUGGUAUGAGAUGGACCCGCGUCUGAUUAGGUAGUUGGUGGGGUAACGGCCUACCAAGCCGACGAUCAGUAGCCGACCUGAGAGGGUGACCGGCCACAUUGGGACUGAGACACGGCCCAAACUCCUACGGGAGGCAGCAGUGGGGAAUAUUGCACAAUGGGGGAAACCCUGAUGCAGCGACGCCGCGUGAGCGAUGAAGUAUUUCGGUAUGUAAAGCUCUAUCAGCAGGGAAGAAAAUGACGGUACCUGACUAAGAAGCAC